CAACCCUUGACAUCCUGUGCUAUAUCCAGAGAUGGAUAGUUCCCUUCGGGGACGCAGUGACAGGUGCUGCAUGGCUGUCGUCAGCUCGUGUCGUGAGAUGUUCGGUUAAGUCCGGCAACGAGCGCAACCCACAUCCCUAGUUGCCAGCAGUUCGGCUGGGCACUCUAUGGAAACUGCCCGUGAUAAGCGGGAGGAAGGUGUGGAUGACGUCAAGUCCUCAUGGCCCUUACGGGUUGGGCUACACACGUGCUACAAUGGUAGUGACAAUGGGUUAAUCCCAAAAAGCUAUCUCAGUUCGGAUUGUCGUCUGCAACUCGACGGCAUGAAGUCGGAAUCGCUAGUAAUCGCGUAACAGCAUGACGCGGUGAAUACGUUCCCGGGCCUUGUACACACCGCCCGUCACACCAUGGGAGUGCAUUGCACCAGAAGUAGAUAGCUUAACCUUCGGGGGAGCGUUUACCACGGUGUGGUCCAUGACUGGGGUGAAGUCGUAACAGGUAACCUAC
rnacentral:rRNA from 1 species